CAGCAGCCGCGGGAACACGUAGGGUGCAAGCGUUAAUCGGAAUUACUGGGCGUAAAGCGUGCGCAGGCGGUUAUAUAAGACAGAUGUGAAAUCCCCGGGCUCAACCUGGGAACUGCAUUUGUGACUGUAUAGCUAGAGUACGGCAGAGGGGGAUGGAAUUCCGCGUGUAGCAGUGAAAUGCGUAGAUAUGCGGAGGAACACCGAUGGCGAAGGCAAUCCCCUGGGCCUGUACUGACGCUCAUGCACGAAAGCGUGGGGAGCAAACAGGAUUAGAUACCCCAGUAGUCCCUGUCUCUUAUAC
rnacentral:rRNA from 1 species